AUUGAACGCUGGCGGCAUGCCUUACACAUGCAAGUCGAACGGCAGCACGGGAGCAAUCCUGGUGGCGAGUGGCGAACGGGUGAGUAAUAUAUCGGAACGUGCCCAGUCGUGGGGGAUAACGUAGCGAAAGCUACGCUAAUACCGCAUACGAUCUAUGGAUGAAAGCGGGGGAUCGCAAGACCUCGCGCGAUUGGAGCGGCCGAUAUCAGAUUAGGUAGUUGGUGAGGUAAAGGCUCACCAAGCCGACGAUCUGUAGCUGGUCUGAGAGGACGACCAGCCACACUGGGACUGAGACACGGCCCAGACUCCUACGGGAGGCAGCAGUGGGGAAUUUUUGGACAAUGGGCGCAAGCCUGAUCCAGCAAUGCCGCGUGCAGGAUGAAGG
rnacentral:rRNA from 1 species